UCCUCCGAUAAAGGCAAAGAAAUUGCAUCCGAGGACCAGUAGACAAAGUACUUCGAAAGUCUGCAUUCUAGACAUUGUGAGUAAACUUACUGUCAUUUUAAUUAUCUAGGGUGUUUUUUAGAUGAUUUCAUGAAUUCUAUGGAAAAAUGGAUUCAAAAGGUAAAUUUUCAUGUUUUAUGAAUAAAGGUGUUCCAAUGAAAUUAAAUUAUAAAUUGUUUUGAAACUAAUAAUGAUUUUAAAAAAUAGAGUAUACGGAGACUGUUAAUUGUGACAAUUUGAUUGUUUAAAUUGACGACUUAUGUUAUAUUGUUAUUGUGUUGGCAUGACUAGCUGGGCUGUGUUUUAUGAAUUGUAUGAAUUGUUUUAUUUUACCUUUGCAGGCUGGGUAGUAUUUCAUUAGCCCUGUCAUGCCGUCAAAAUUUUAUUAUAUGGUGGAUUAUAUAUUACUUAAUCACUACAGUAGGGGGUUUUUGUGGACCAGCCUUUUAGAGGGGCAUGGUAAACCCCAUUAUAAUUCUUACCUCGAUUGGAGAGGCGUGUAAGGUAUCUCUUGAGGUAAAGUUUAGGGUUCACUUCACGCUAAACCACCACGUGAGGGUGAACUCAGCCAACGCCAAGGAACGGCUGUGAUGUCCAACGAAAAUAGUGUUUUAUGUGAAAUGUGAAUUUUUAACAGCCUUGGUGGUCUUGGUAGGAUGCCUCGGCCAAGGUGUCCUUGAGAAUGGAUUUAUGGCACAAGCCUAGUUUUUAUGAGAUUCAUAAGCCUCUUCACGUAUUUUGAAUGAAAUGUAUUCUAAUGCUGUGACUCAGUUUACGAUGAUUAACUUUAUUGUCUCCAUGUAUUCAACUCUAGAUGUUUAUGAUGAUGUUUGUUUACUCAUUGGGAUUUUAUAAUCUCACCACCCUCAUUUCCAUCCAUUUCAGGUUCAGUAUAGACUGUAGAUAGCUGAUCUCAUCGAGGACUACCAUUGGAUUUGCAUUUUCCAAACUGUAGGUUUACAGUCCUCUUUACUUUUGUUUAUUUAGGAGCCCACUGGUUAUUGUAAAUUAAAGUAAAUAUUUUGGUUUACUGUAUUGCAAUAUGUAAGAAUUUA
rnacentral:lncRNA from 1 species